rnacentral:rRNA from 1 species
CACGUAGGGGCCAAGCGUUGUCCGGAUUUAUUGGGCGUAAAGAGCUCGUAGGCGGUUCGACAAGUCGGGUGUGAAAACUCCGGGCUCAACCCGGAGACGCCACCCGAUACUGUCGUGACUGGAGUCCGGUAGGGGAGUGGGGAAUUCCUGGUGUAGCGGUGAAAUGCGCAGAUAUCAGGAGGAACACCGGUGGCGAAGGCGGCUCACUGGCCCGGUACUGACGCUGAGGCACGAAAGCGUGGGGAGCAAACAGG